AACGAACGCUGGCGGCAGGCUUAACACAUGCAAGUCGAGCGCCCCGCAAGGGGAGCGGCAGACGGGUGAGUAACGCGUGGGAAUCUACCCAUCUCUACGGAAUAACGCAUGGAAACGUGUGCUAAUACCGUAUACGUCCUUCGGGAGAAAGAUUUAUCGGAGAUGGAUGAGCCCGCGUUGGAUUAGCUAGUUGGUGGGGUAAAGGCCUACCAAGGCGACGAUCCAUAGCUGGUCUGAGAGGAUGAUCAGCCACACUGGGACUGAGACACGGCCCAGACUCCUACGGGAGGCAGCAGUGGGGAAUAUUGGACAAUGGGCGCAAGCCUGACCCAGCCAUGCCGCGUGAGUGAUGAAAGCCCUAGGGUUGUAAAGCUCUUUCACCGGUGAAGAUAAUGACGGUAACCGGAGAAGAAGCCCCGGCUAACUUCGUGCCAGCAGCCGCCGUAAGAC
rnacentral:rRNA from 1 species